GACGAACGCUGGCGGCGUGCUUAACACAUGCAAGUCGAGCGGAAAGGCCCUUCGGGGUACUCGAGCGGCGAACGGGUGAGUAACACGUGAGUAAUCUGCCUCUAGCUCUGGGAUAGCUCCGGGAAACCGGGAUUAAUACCGGAUACGACCACUCAAGACAUCUUCUGUGGUGGAAAGAAUUUCGGCUAGAGAUGAGCUCGCGGCCUAUCAGCUUGUUGGUGGGGUAACGCCACCAAGGCGACGACGGGUAGCCGGCCUGAGAGGGCGACCGGCCACACUGGGACUGAGACACGGCCCAGACUCCUACGGGAGGCAGCAGUGGGGAAUAUUGCGCAAUGGGCGAAAGCCUGACGCAGCGACGCCGCGUGGGGAUGAAGGCCUUCGGGUU
rnacentral:rRNA from 1 species